GACGAACGCUGGCGGCGUGCUUAACACAUGCAAGUCGAACGGAAAGGCGCUGCUCUUGUGGGGUGCUCGAGUGGCGAAGGGGGGAGUAACACGUGAGUAACAUGCCCCUGAAUGUGGGAUAAAUUCAGGAAACUGGGGCUAAUACCGGAUAGGAGCUCCUGCAGCGCGGUGGGGGUUGGAAAGUUUCGGCGGUUGGGGAUGGAUUAGCGGGUUAUCAGCUUGUUGGUGGGGUAGUGGCUGACCAAGGGUUUGAAGGGUAGCCGGCCUGAGAGGGUGACCGGCCACAUUGGGACUGAGGUACGGCCCAGACGCCUACGGGAGGCAGCGGGGGGGAAUAUUGCACAAUGGGCGGAAGCCUGAUGUAGCAACGCCGCGUGCGGGAUGACGGCCUUCGGGUUGUAAACCGCUUUCGCCUGUGACGAAGCGUGAGUGACGGUAAUGGGUAAAGAAGCACCGGCUAACUACGUG
rnacentral:rRNA from 1 species